rnacentral:rRNA from 1 species
UACAGAGACUGCAAGCGUUAUUCGGAUUCACUGGGCGUAAAGGGUGCGCAGGCGGCCGUGUGUGUGAGGCGUGAAAGCCCGGGGCUUAACCCCGGAAUUGCACCUCAAACUACAUGGCUAGAGCAUUGGAGAGGGUAGCGGAAUUCACGGUGUAGCAGUGAAAUGCGUAGAUAUCUGGAGGAACACCGGUGGCGAAGGCGGCAUCCUGGGACCGACACUGACGCUGAGGAGCGAAAGCCAGGGGAGCAAAGCGGG